GUUUAUAUUGUCAAAAAAGCACCGAAGGAAGAGAGGGAGGAGAGGUGGCGUUCAGCGCAGAAUGAGGAAAUAUGGGCUCAGUGACAGACGCUGGCUCCCUCCGCUUCCAUCCAUACUCAAAUGUACAGUCCAUUUGGAAAAAGAUGGAUGGACUGGAUGUCAGGGUUUGAGAUUUGCCAUGUCUUCUGUUUUAUUUUCUGGUCUGUUUUGUUAUUUUUUGUUCAUUGGUUUUGUGUGUGUUUAUUCUCUUGCUUGGUUUUGUCGUACUUGGGUUUGUCUGUCUCUAUCUCUCUUUUCUGUCUCCUGGUGUUUGGUGGUAGGUGUUUCCCUGUGUCUGG